rnacentral:rRNA from 1 species
UACGAGGGGGGCAAGCGUUGUUCGGAAUUAUUGGGCGUAAAGGGCGCGUAGGCGGUGCGGUAAGUCACCUGUGAAAACUCUGGGCUCAACUCAGAGCCUGCAGGCGAAACUGCCGUGCUUGAGUGUGGGAGAGGUGCGUGGAAUUCCCGGUGUAGCGGUGAAAUGCGUAGAUAUUCGGAGGAACACCAGUGGCGAAGGCGGCUCACUGGUCCGGUACUGACGCUGAGGAGCGAAAGCCAGGGGAGCAAACGGG